CAGGCUUAUUUUAUUAAGACUUGAUACCUGCUGGUUAUAGAGUGCCUGUUUAACGUAGUAAUACAAGUAUCGCUUGAUGAAGCCUAAAGAGACACUAUAGUCACCAAAACAGAAAUUGAAACCAUUUUCUUUUCAUGCAGGCUAUGUUAGUCACACACAGGGAGGUGUGGCAAGGGCUGCAUAAACAGAAAGAAACGUGAUUUAACCCCUAAAUGGCUAUAAAUUAAGCAGUGAAACUUCAGAGGCAUGAUCUAUAAACCAAAACUGCUCCAUGAAGCUAAAUUGUUUAGGUGACAUACUGUCCCUUUCACUAUCAUGGUAAGCCGGAGUAUGAAAAUGUUAGAUAAAUCACAAGUGGGGUUGUUCACUAAAGUAAAUUGUUACAAAUGUGAUUCAUUUAAAAAUCACAUAAACAGGAAAAUUCAACAAAAACUUCCCUUAAAAC